UACGGAGGGUGCGAGCGUUAUUCGGAAUCACUGGGCGUAAAGCGCGCGUAGGCGGGUUGACAAGUCAGGUGUGAAAUCCCACGGCUCAACCGUGGAAUUGCACUUGAUACUGUUGACCUAGAGUCUGGCAGAGGGUGGCGGAAUUCCCGGUGUAGUGGUGAAAUACGUAGAUAUCUGGAAGAACACCAGUGGCGAAGGCGGCUACUUGGUUCGCAACUGACGCUGAGGCGCGAAAGCGUGGGGAGCAAACCGG
rnacentral:rRNA from 1 species